rnacentral:sRNA from 1 species
GACGGACAGAAAGAGAAAGAUGAGUGGUGGCACACUGGGAAUUGCUGACAUCGAUUCCCUGUAUCCCACUUACAUGGCCUUUGGGUAACCCGAUAUGCAGGCAGAUCGCAUCAGUAGUUCACUCCAAAAAGUUUCGGAAUAUAUUCUUAUUUAAUUAAAUGCUUCUCUGCACCAUAUUCAUAUGAUAAAAUUUAAAAUAAUUUAAUUUUUGUUGUAGUGCAUUGCCAUUAAAGAGCAGCUGCAACCUAAUUCAAAGAGUCAGGCAGGUGAAACUUUGAGGCCGACUACUGGACCUUAAAUGCUUGAGGGGUAGAGUGAUCAGGAGUGCAAUCCACUCCGAGCGAAGGCAACUUUCACUAAUUAUUGAUUGCCUUUGCCCGUUGACCUCUGAACCCAAUGUCCAAUUAUGCGAGUUCUUAUCUAACCGUAUCAAAGCGCCUCCCCCGAGGCUGGAAAGUUGCAGUGUAAUCGAUAACCCUGGGGGAAUCACCCACGCAUCAAACACCUCACACACACACACUCCGGAUUCUCCACAAACAUAUCAGUGCACAAACGGGUGGCAGAGAGCUUCAUUACGGCCAGAGGGCCGGACUAGUUGGCUUUUUUGGUUGGCCAGAGUGGGUGGCAUUUGCAUACUUGCCUCGGAAUGGGAGGGGGCAUGGUCAUGCACACCCCCCUUCCGCCCCUCUGUUUUGAUUAUCCCUGCUUCGAUAUUGAUAUCCAAUACCUUCGGACAUUCUCUGUCGUUUUACAGUGCCUCCUGCCUCAUUGCUUUAAAUUUAAGCCGAAAAUGCAGGGGCUCACUCUAAAGUCGAAGAUGCAGAAAGCAUUUGCGGCUUUUGAAGCUGUUCCUUUUUUUUUGGACUGACUCCUGCAUUCCCAUUUCCAUUCGAAUCCCAUGUGUGUAUCAUUCUGUGCUGCACAUAAAAAUUUCACACAAGGCUGUGAGAGGUGCACAAACUGGGGAUCGGGUUACAUUGAAAUUCUCAUAUUCGACGUGGUUUUCACUGAGCAAAGUCCUUUUGCUCCAGGGUCUCUACAAAUAUCUGGUUAAAAGCUUAAGUCAAAAGAGAAUAGGAUUAAGAUUCCGAAUUUUCAGUCUUAUUUCAUUGAAUCUUGGCUUUUGUUAAAAAUUACUAUUUUUGUUCUUGAAAGUAAUCACCUAACUGCAUUGCUCUGUAACCCUUUGGUUUAAAUUUUCUGUUAGCUGCUUCUGCGGAAUGCCGAAUUGCUCAUACGCCAUGUGGCCGCAAGUGGUGUCCAAUGCCGAGUUUCUGGGGAAAAUUGGUCCGCGCAAAAGAGCCACAACCACAAUUGGCCAAUGCUGGCCAGAUGAUUCAUCGCCACCAUUGCAUCUAUCACAAGCUCCAGACAAACUGGAUAUCCCCGGCGUCAUGCGAUACUCUUCAAAUUAAGCGUUGCUGCCAACUUGCUGACAAAUGCAAGUCGUCUAAUAAGUUGCCGUCUCCCUCUAGCCCACACUGGCCAUCUCUUUCGCGGCGCGCAACACCUUUUCCAUUCGCACUCCAUGAACGGCGCUCACACGCUCGCUUGGUUAUUUUUCCAGCAAUUCGCGUAUCGGUGACAAUCGCAUUCGCAUUCGCAUUCAGGUUUUACGCUGUCUGUCGCUGCGAAAAGCGAAAAGAGUAUCAAGAAUUCGCACGAUAAAAUCUCCGGAGCCGGCUGCCCGAGCCGAGCAUAUCAAUUACACGCCUCAGGUGCGACCUCGUCCAGGUGGGAUGGAAUGGCAUGGGGUGGUGGACAGGAGGGGGGUGUGGUGAGGUGAGGGGGGCUAUGGCGACGCACGCUCGGCUCAAGUUCAGCAUCUUGCAGUAAGCGUAACCGGAGGAACGGAGAUACAUUCGACUCCAUCUCCGCUACCUCCGUCUCGCUCAUUGUCGCAUGCGCCGUCUCUUUCGGCAGCUCGGUUUUUAGUAUCAUUUGUCUGUUAAUUUAUGUUCGGUUUUUAAUUUCUGAUUUGUGCGUUCGUUCAGUUUUUCAGCUCUUUGCUGCCUGACAGUGGCUCAACGGGUUCGAGGGGGUGGGGUGGGCGGUAAAGAGGGGACAUGCACUGGCAAAAAUUUGGAACCACUAAGCAGAACUUUAUAAAUUCUAAACAAAUUAUAUGCAUUAUGCAUAACCUUUAUGAUGCAGCAACUUUUUUAUAACUUUAGUGGUAGCUUAUAUUUUAGCUUAUUUUUGGUUUCUCCUAAUUAACACACUUUUUUGUUCAGUGUCCUUUCCGUCAGCGACAUUAAAACUCUCGCCCAUGCUUGAAACUCUACACCGAAAUGCGAAUAAAAAUCAAUUAAUUAAAAACUGAAAUUUUAUGCCGCCUGUUGUUCUUGAUGGAGUUGGGAUCUGAUUCGCUCUGCCCGCCCAGAAAUACUUGUGUAAUUCGUGUAUUAAGAAAGAUACAAGCACACACGUCUACCUUUACAUUUCCAAUCGAAUUUCCUUUGCCCCCAAAACCAAUCCCAUGCCCAAUCCCGCCCAGCAAUCAGAUCUGCUCGGAUUUUUGGCUCGCUUUUCAUUUGAAUUUUUUCGUAAUUAUUGCCCAAGAAUCCAGUGGAUACAUUUGCAACACUCGUUCUGUUUCUGACUCUUCAAGUUUGUUGUGUUCUCCUUCAUUUUGCAAAAUCUCAACUUACAAAAACAUAUCAUAUUUUCGUUUUUAUUAUGAAUCGUAAUGAACCGGCUUUACGGGUGAGAAGCGGGAACUGGGAACUCCAAUCCGAUAGUCAAGUUCUUUGUCUGGCAUUGAGUGCACUGGGAAAAAUAGUGUCUUAGAUUUCAUACGAAAUAUAAAACUGAGUAACUGAGCAAACAUGGUAAGAUCUUGCAAAAGAUCUUAGUUAAGCUUCUGGUAUUUAAAUGGUUGAUGAGUAUCUCCACCUUUACCUGAUUAAGAAUACUCCCAACUAUCGGGCUAAAUGGAUUUCGGUUUCCUGACCUACAUCCAUGCCCAUCCGAUGUCGUCCAAGGGGCUUAUCCCGCUGCAGUGGAGCCGCCUGUUAUGCGAGUGGCUCGCAUUAAAACACGUCUUGGGUUACCGGCGAGGAAACCUAAUAGAAUAAUGUAAAGUACCCGGCGCGGCAAUGCUCGCAGUGCCAGAGCAACGAGACCCAGACUGACUGGCUCACUGGCUCACUGGGGGAUGGGGAGCUAGAGGGAUGGUGGGUUGGUGGGCUAGUGGGCCAGGCGGAGCGGGUGGAGCGGUAGUGGCAACCCAAUACGCUUAUAAUAACUCACCCUGAACCUAGUAAACUGAACUGAGACUAAGGCGAACUAAAACCAAGCUGCAGUAGAACUGCUGUCCGGACCGAAUCCGUAUCCGAAUCCGAAUCCAAUCCCAGGCCCCUCGAACACCACCCCCCGAAAAAGUAUAUGUACCAGCCGGCACGUAAGUGUAUAUAUGGUCGGCCAGUGGAAAUAACACCCAAUGGCAACAAAUUCUAGAAUUACGCUAGUUUUCUCAGACACACGUUUGUACAUGUGCUUGGGUUUUGGGUUUUGGGUUUGGGUUUGGAAUUGGGAUUGGGUGUUUGCGAGGCGAGCACAAAGUCGCUCGGUUUUGAGUUUGCUGUAAUCGAAUAUCGAUAGCUCAGGAUUGAAUGACGCGCGUCCUUCUUUUGAAUUCUUACAUGACAUACUUGGCCUUUGCCAAGUUGUUUGUUGCUAUUGCUCUGCGAAUUUGAAGUUCCCACCGCCCUGCCCCUACCCUUUGGCAUCGAAAUAUUCCAUUUCAUUUUAAUGUACACCAGAUAUGGGUGGCUCGCUGCUCAGACGGAGAUAUAUACUCGUAUAUAUGUACAUAUGUAUAUAUGAUAUGAUAUAUGGGAACUCAAGGCACCGAAUACGAAAUCGGAAACCAAAGGGCUUGGUAUUAAUGUGUGUGGUAGGUCACAUAGAGCACUCUUGUAAAAAAUAUAUAUAUCUAGAUAUCACUUGCCUGGCUGAGUUUCCAUUUGCAUUCAAAAUGUCAAUGAAUCAAUCAACAAAAAACAAUGCAACUGACACUAUUUGUGGCUUUAUGGCAAUUAGAUAAAUCAUCGGAAAAUCAGGAAAGUGGACAGCUUUUGCUGCUCAACUUGGGGGCGUGUUGUAAAAGUUUCAUCAAUGGCGAUUAAAUUUCAUUUGGCCGAAUAAGAAUAUAUUAAAUGGUUAGAAAACUUGAUAGCUGCUCCUGGCGAGCAACGAUCCCUUCACCUGCUGCAACUCGGACCACCACCUGCCACCUGGCAGUGUCAAGGGCUUUGAGCCACCCACUCAUCCACCCACCCAACCAUCCACCCAUCCACAUGGCCUCUUGGCCACUCGGGUUCGCUUUCGUAAUGCUGGGCCAUCAGCAGUGGCUCGAAUUAAUUUAACGCUAUUUUAAUUCGAGCUGCUGCUGCUGCUGCUGAUGCUGCGUGGCGGUGGAAGGGAGUGGAUGUUGCAUGUGGCAGGAAGGCAGGCGGCACAGCAGCACAGGGUGCCUCACGUUACCAGUGCACUACAGUGUGAACCCCCGAAACGCCCAUCUACUGGCACCUUUGAGCUCUGGUUCCUGGUGUUUUGUGUAGAAUUUAUCAUAUUCUAUUUUGUUUGUAACUCAAUCUGCGUCGCUGUUAUUAAAGUUCUGCUGCUGCGGCAACAUUUGAGCCCAGUUGCCACCGUCGCCCCAAGCCGCCUCCACUCCGCCCGUGCUCCUGAGUGGCCGCCUGUCAUUGUGUCAUCGUCAUAGUCAUCUGGAUCCGAUCCACAGCCCCACACACCCGGUUGUGUGAGUGUAACCCAAUCCCUGCUGCCGGAACCCUGGGUUAUGUGCAUAGAAUGUUGCUUGGAGUCUGCCAACACUUAACUCGGAGGCGAUUUGUAGGUGAUGAAUACUGUGUGUGCAACAGAGGCGAGGCGAUAAUGCAUCUAAUCACAAAUUAUGGAACCGAAUUUAUCACUUAAUGCGGAAGCUAAUGCGGUAUGAAAAACCCAUUAAAGGUUUCCUAAAGAAAAUGUUUAAAUGUCACUCCAGCAUUUGCUAUUUAAGAAGUCAAUUGUAUAUUUAAAAAAAUAUUUGCCCAAGACACCCACUUUGUUUACCAUAUUUGCCGCACAUUCCGCCUACAAAGAGUUAUUGAUUUCAGCCAUCAAUGGCCACCUUCACCACUUUGUCACUCUUCCUACUUCGCAGGAUAAUGCCUAGUGUGUGACAAAGACAUCCUUUUCUGCAGAUAGCUACAUACAUACACAUAUUCCUAUCAAAUGCAGCUUGUAAUUAUGGCCAGGAGCUGGCGGAGAGGCCAAAAUACCGAAAGCGAUACCCAAACUGGGUGAGUUAGCAAAGUGUGGUUGCACACUCAAAGCAGAUUGGGCGACAUUGAGAGCCCGAUUGAAGGCGAAAUUCAGCCGAACACGAAAGAGAUGAUUAUGGUGGCUCCUAUCAUGGAACUAAAUUACAAAAAUAUCAAAAAAUGUAUCUUAUAUGAGUAUAUCGGAUUUUAAGGCAUAUUUGCAUAUCUGUAGUAAGUUUAGUAAGACUACUAUCUUUAGAUUCAUACUAUCUUUUAAUUGAUUGUGUCAGCAUGCAGCUAAAGCCUAAGCUUUGCAAUUCCAUUAUGAAUAUCAUUAUACAGGCAUGAGUAGCCACAUAGAUAUCCGUGCAAAUAUCGCACAUUUACCUAGAAAAACAGUCGCCAAGCUCGGUUGGCAGUUCCCAGCGGAUACCCAGUUCCCAAGCCCCUCAGCAGCCCAUUCAUUAUAAUAAUUUUGGCUCGGCUUUGUUUUUGUUUUUGUGCUUGUUGUUGGUUAUACCCCCCUCCCCUCAUGACCGACAAUAAGUAUCAUUGCGCCCAACUGCAAGUCGGGGGGUAUGAUUUCCAUUCGCCGAUCGGGUUACACGUGCUGCAAAAAUGUUGCUCUGCGACUCUCUGUCCCUGUCUGUGGCAUUAAAUUAAUUUCGCUCAUUUGCCGGAUGGAGCAGAAGCGUAAGGGACUGCGGACAGAGGGGAGCGGAUGGAUUCCGAAUCGGAAUCGGAGCCGCUCACUCGUUAAAAUGAUUAUAAAAACUUAUCAAUAUAAAAUUACCGCCAACUCCCGCUCGACUUACGAGCUCGUCCCGUAAUCGCGUAAUCACAAUGGCAAUCGGAAUCCGAAUCCGAGUCUCCUCAGCUGCAGCGACCGCCAGCAACUCCUCUUUCAAAUUCCGGACGCGGAUUCAGAUACAAAGUUGCAUGGAAUUUAAUGCAGCACUUUUCAGCGGGGCGGGGGCGGGGGCGUGGCGUUGCAUUAUCAUUGCUCUUGCAUAAACAUUUCCAAAUAGCCCAACAAUCAAGUGAGACGAACUGAACUGCACUGAACUGAAAGCCGAAACGAUUUUUGGUUCUCUGGCCGAGGGAUUUGGAGUCCGAUUCUUUGAUUUUAGCGCUUAGUUGGAAGUGCUCUUUGGCUGGAUUCGCUGGAUUCGAGCUUGUAAGUGGAAACUAUGUGCAACAUGCAGUUCACCAAAUAUUUCUGCGUUCGCUGAGGAUGAAAUGGAAAUAUCUGUUCUGCGGCAAAGGUAGUUACGUAUAUCAUGAACACACAUUUUUAUAGAUAUUUCCAUGGCAACUAAAUUAUCCACUGGAUACGAGAUCCACUUCAAAGCUACUCUAACGCAAGAUAUAGACGCGCAACUGGCGAGUGGGUGUUAUUCACCUUUCCCCCAGCCAAACACUCGAAAACAAACAAAUAAUAAUCAUUCUGCGUAUAUGAAGAUCGCAGCUAUAGAAAUAUAGAAAUGUUUUGCCAAGAGCAAAGAAGAACGUUCUUAUUUUUAAAUCCAACGCAAACUUUGUCAGCAUCCUUGUUAUUGAAUACGCGGCGAAAUAAUGCGCAGACAGGGGCAAUUAAUUAGACGGCAAGAAAGUAUCUCAAAGUGUUCAUUCAUACAUC